rnacentral:rRNA from 1 species
GACGAACGCUGGCGGCGUGCUUAACACAUGCAAGUCGUACGGUAAGGCCCUUUCGGGGGUACACGAGUGGCGAACGGGUGAGUAACACGUGAGUAACCUGCCCACAACUUUGGGAUAACGCUAGGAAACUGGUGCUAAUACUGGAUAUGUGCCCCUGCUGCAUGGUGGGGGUUGGAAAGCUCCGGCGGUUGUGGAUGGACUCGCGGCCUAUCAGCUUGUUGGUGGGGUAGUGGCCUACCAAGGCGGCGACGGGUAGCCGGCCUGAGAGGGUGACCGGCCACAUUGGGACUGAGAUACGGCCCAGACUCCUACGGGAGGCAGCAGUGGGGAAUAUUGCACAAGGGGCGCAAGCCGGAUGCAGCAACGCCGCGUGCAGGAUGACGGCCUUCGGGUUGUAAACCGCUUUCAGCAGGGACGAAGCUUUUUGUGACGGUACCUGCAGAAGAAGCACCGGCUAACUACGUG